rnacentral:rRNA from 1 species
GACAGCAGCGAUAGGACAUUGGCCGCGCCAGUUCACUAUGGAUUACUGAAGUUAACCAACGUUGCGCGUGGUCGGUAACUGGAUGGGUGAUCUGGAAAAUGAUGCAGCUGGCUUUUC